CUCUGAUGCAGCCCCUUCUGUGCCAGGUGCGGUGGUUCCUCAGCCUGGAGCCGGAGUGAAGCCUGGGAAAGUGCCGGGUGUGGGGCUGCCAGGUGUAUACCCAGGUGGCGUGCUCCCAGGUGUAGGUGGAGCUUUUGCUGGAAUCCCAGGAGUUGGACCCUUUGGGGGACCGCAACCUGGAGUCCCACUGGGGUAUCCCAUCAAGGCCCCCAAGCUGCCUGGUGGCUAUGGACUGCCCUACACCACAGGGAAACUGCCCUAUGGCUAUGGGCCCGGAGGAGUGGCUGGUGUAGCGGGCAAAGCUGGUUACCCAACAGGGACAGGGGUUGGCCCCCAGGCAGCAGCAGCAGCGGCAGCUAAAGCAGCAGCAAAGUUAGGUGCUGGAGCAGCCGGAGUCCUCCCUGGUGUUGGAGGGGCCGGUGUUCCUGGCGUGCCUGGGGCAAUUCCUGGAAUCGGAGGCAUCG
rnacentral:lncRNA from 1 species